AUUGAACGCUGGCGGCAGGCCUAACACAUGCAAGUCGAGCGAGCGGCGGACGGGUGCGUAAUGUAUGGGGACUGCCCGAUAGAGGGGGAUAACUACUGGAAACGGUGGCUAAUACCGCAUACUAUCGGAUAACCCAUAUGGGAUUAGCUAGUAGGUGGGGUAAAGGCUAACCUAGGCGACGAUCCCUAGCUGGUCUGAGAGGAUGAACAGCCACAAGGGGACGGAGACACGGCCAAGACUCCUACGGAGGAAGCAGUGGGUAAUAUUGGACAAUGGGCGAAAGCCUGUGGCAGCAAUGCCGAGUGUAUGAAGAAGGCGUUAGGGUUGUAAAGUACUUUCAGCAGGGAGGCGUUACCCGAAGCUGAAGCACCGGCUAACUCCGUGCCAGCAGCCGCGGUAAUUC
rnacentral:rRNA from 1 species